UACGAAGGGGGCUAGCGUUGCUCGGAAUCACUGGGCGUAAAGCGCACGUAGGCGGAUCUUUAAGUCAGGGGUGAAAUCCCAAGGCUCAACCUUGGAACUGCCUUUGAUACUGGGGAUCUCGAGUCCGGAAGAGGUGAGUGGAACUGCGAGUGUAGAGGUGAAAUUCGUAGAUAUUCGCAAGAACACCAGUGGCGAAGGCGGCCAACUGGUCCGGAACUGACGCUGAGGUGCGAAAGCGUGGGGAGCAAACAGG
rnacentral:rRNA from 1 species